GGUUCCAUAGUGUAGCGGUUAGCAUGUCUGCUUUACAUGCAGAAGGUCCUGGGUUCGCACCCCAGUGGAGCCA
rnacentral:tRNA from 1 species